rnacentral:misc_RNA from 1 species
UCGUAACAAGGUUUCCGUAGGUGAACCUGCGGAAGGAUCAUUACCGAGUGCAGGCCUCGCCCCACAGGCAGGCCUAACCUCCCACCCGUGAAUACCUGACCAACGUUGCUUCGGCGGUGCGCGCCCCCUUCCCGGGGGGCGUAAGCCGCCGGGGACCACACCGAACUUCUUGUUUUUAGCGUGUCGUCUGAGCUUGAUACAAGCAAACCUAAUUAAAACUUUCAACAAUGGAUCUCUUGGUUCCGGCAUCGAUGAAGAACGCAGCGAACUGCGAUAAGUAAUGUGAAUUGCAGAAUUCAGUGAAUCAUCGAGUCUUUGAACGCACAUUGCGCCCCCUGGCAUUCCGGGGGGCAUGCCUGUCCGAGCGUCAUUGCUGCCCUUCAAGCCCGGCUUGUGUGUUGGGUCGUCGUCCCCCCCGGGGGACGGGCCCGAAAGGCAGCGGCGGCACCGCGUCCUGGUCCUCGAGCGUAUGGGGCUUUGUCACCCGCUCGUUUAGGGCCGGCCGGGCGCCAGCCGGCGUCUCCAAACCUUUUAUUUUACCAGGUUGACCUCGGAUCAGGUAGGGAUACCCGCUGAACCUAAGCAU